rnacentral:rRNA from 1 species
CACCAGACUCCUACGGGAGGCAGCAGUGGGGAAUAUUGCACAAUGGGGGAAACCCUGAUGCAGCAACGCCGCGUGAGUGAGGAAGUAUUUCGGUAUGUAAAGCUCUAUCAGCAGGGAAUAGAAAAGAAGGUACCUGAAAAAGAAGCCCCGGCUAACUACGUGCCAGCAGCCGCGGUAAUACGUAGGGGGCAAGCGUUAUCCGGAUUUACUGGGUGUAAAGGGAGCGUAGACGGCAGUGCAAGUCCGGAGUGAAAGCCCGGGGCUCAACCCUGGGACUGCUCUGGAAACUGUAAAGCUGGAGUGCGGGAGGGGCAGGCGGAAUUCCUGGUGUAGCGGUGAAAUGCGUAGAUAUCAGGAGGAACACCGGCGGCGAAGGCGGCCUGCUGGACCGUAACUGACGUUGAGGCUCGAAAGCGUGGGGAGCAAACAGGAUUAGAUACCCCCGUACCG